rnacentral:lncRNA from 1 species
AGAGUACUUGUCAGUGUGUUUCUAACCUUAAGAAUUUUUUAGUUUUCAGCUUCUCAUAUUUGAUCUCUUACCCCAACUCAAUUUUAUUUACUGAAUAGUAUAACUAGUACAUAGUUCAGGGCUAAUGAUGGGAAGACUGAUUUUUCCACUGGCUAGGAAUAAGCUGUGUGAACUCUUCCCUGUUUAAAAUGAAGAGUAUGCAAUUCCCUUUUAUUCUUCAGAAGGUUUUAAGUUUAAAAUUUAGCAGUAGAGUUUGUGGUCUAGGUUUUAUAUGUACAUUUGCAGAGUUUUUCUUACCAUAACUAAAAGUAAUGAAUAUUCCAAAAUGCCAGCCAAUUCCCUGUAUACUAGUCUGCCAACCCCACUGUUUUACUCAUCUUUGUAACCUCACAGGCUAGCCCCAUGCUUGACAAGUGAUAACAAAAUCGAAAGCAAGUGGUAGGUCCACAGCCUACUUUAGAUUCCUAUGUUUUACCGAUCCUGUGUCUACUUUGCCCACUUCAAGGGUGCUAAGGUCACCCCUGCAACUUUGCUACUAGGUUUGUGGGAUUGGGAGCAGUACAUUCUGUUGAAUGCCCUUGCCAGGAAAUCAGUGGGUAGUUGGAUGUAUCACCAGAAAGUGAGCAUCUUAACAAAGGAAAUUUCUGUGAAUGAGACCGCUACCCCUUACCUAUAGAAAGCACAGCACACCCACAUAUUAAUAGGGGAUAGGUGCUGCCACAGGGGGACGUAUCAUUAAAUUACCCAAGUCCUGCUUUAGACAUGGUAUAAUGGAACUUGAUAUUCAGUAAUACUUGCAGCAAGAAAUGUUUGCAGUUGAGUAGGCUUGUGAGGCUUUUGAUGCUGCCUAUAGUCGCUGAGAAUUUGAGAGAUAAAUAUGGAUUCAGUAUUCUGUCUUCAUUUUGGAUCAUACUGGUUUUUUUGUUUGUUUGUUUUUUUGCAUUGCAUGAAAUGCUACAGAAUGGAAGGGUAAGCUUAGUUGGUGACUAACAAUUCCCAUGUGUAUUUAGGAAUGCAUGCAAUUUCCUACUUUCAACCUGAAAACAUUGCUACUUGAUUGGAACUCAGAAUACAAUUUCUCAUCUAAAUUAUUUAAAAUGUGGCUAACUUUCAGGCUAUUAUGUAAGAAGCUGUUUAGUCCUUCAUGUGAGUGUAUUACUGUGGUUAAAUGUAACAAUUGUAACAUUUCUAUUGAAAUACGUGGGUUAGUUUCCACUGUGGGUUUGUCAAAAAUGCCUGUCCCACAGCUCUGGCAGUGCAAGUAAAGACUCUGAAGGUGGAAGUGUGUUAAGAUCCAGCAGCUUGCCAAAUAUGUCAGUUAUUUUAAAGUCAGGGAUUUAGCAUAAAUAAAUGUAUCUCAAUAUUGGGUGAUUCAAAAUGCAAUAGAAUUUGCAGUGUCUUGGGAUCAUUAUCAUAAUGGUUUUGUAUUGAAUAUUAGAAGUGUAUCCAGGUAUAGGAGGUAGGGAAAAUUUUCCAGUAUAUUUCAUGAGUUCCCUCUAAAAAACAACAGAGCACAGAAAGAAUUCCAGGUGUUUGAGUAUUCAGUUGGAAUUUCAUGAAAUGAUGACUAUCAGCUUUCACUUAAUCCCAACAAAGGGAGGUAAGAAGAGGUACACACAACAUACAGAUGCAGAAAAGCAUGUCUCUUGUUAGGUAGCAACUUCUAUGAGUUGUGUAUUCGGGGGCUAAAGAGAGUAGAUUUAGUCCAAUUUCAUAUUUGAGGAAUUCAGUCACCCUGAAGAAAAUAAUGCAAGAUUUUAACUAAAAUUGGUGUGUGACUUGCAUAGAUGCACAGAAGAGUCAUAUUAGUGCAGCUGUGGCAAUCUGGGAAGGCUUCUCAGCUGAGGCAGGUUCUGCUUGGCCUUAGGUGAGCAGGACCAUCAGGUAGCAUGGUGUAAUGGGCAAAGGAGAGCGGCAUGGGAGUUGCAUGAUAUGGGUUAAGUCACAACUUCACCAUUCCUAGCUGAGGCAUCUUGUGUAAGUUACAAUAUUUCUUUGACCCUUAGUUUUCUCAUCUGGAAAAUGGGUAUAAUUAAAUCUACCUGGUAGGAUUGUUGGAAACAUUAAGUGACUAUGGGUAUAAACUAGAUCUGGUCCAGCACCUGAUAUUUCUUUUAAGGGAGAAAGGAGAAACAUGAAGGGAUGAGGGAAGAUACUGGCUGUCCCUGGGGAAGACAACAGUUUUUUUGGAAUCAAAGUUGAGAUUUCAAUCCUGGUCAAUGCUAGGAUAAUAAUAGCAAGCACUAACUGAACACUUACUUUAUGCCUGACUUUAUCCUUAGCACAUAUCAUGUAUUACCUAAUUUAACCAUACUAUCAACCUGUGAGGUGCUUAAUCUUAGGCCCAUUUUAUGGAUGAGAUAUUUAAGGUGAAGAAAGGCAACUUGCCCAGGGACCCUUUAAAAGUGGAGGGUCAGAAUGAGAAUCAGUGGCUCUGACUCCAAAGCCCAAUGGUUGUUAUCCAUUAUGCUUAGGUGCUGGCUAGUCUUGGAGGGCUUGUAGAAUUAGGGGGAGGGUGACCCUGAGGAGGUGGACAGCAGAGAGGAAGCCAUUCCUGGUGGCUGAAGAUUCUCAGAGCCACUUCCAGUUCCAGCUUCCAGUUGCCCACAUUCAGAACACCAAAAAGCUUCCUCAUCGUUCACAACAAACCCAAGCUCUUAGUUUCACGCUCCAUGUAUUUCACCAUCUGUUUUCACCUGAUCCUUCUAAAUGGAUCUCCCAUGUUUUUCCAUUAAUUUAAAAAUUAUUUUUAAAAAAGGUAAUGUUUACACCUGACAAAAAUUCAAAUAGAACAAAAUAGUAUAUACUAUUUCCAUUCUCCUACCCUUGCUUCCAGAUCCCUUGGUUACACCCCUCUCCCCUAUGUCCCAGGCCAGUCUUAACAGCGGAGCAGAAUGCUCCAGAACAAGGAGCUAGAUUCCUUGGGUUUUAAUCCCAGCUCUGCCAUUUUCUGGCUGUGUGAUCUCUGUGCAUCUGUAGAAUAAGGGUGAUGAGGCCCUUACCUCACAGGGCUGUUAAGAGGAUUAACCAUUAGAAAAGGAUUAACCAUUAACUACUAGAAAGAAACAUACUUAUGCACUUUCAAUUACUAACUGGUGGAUAGUAAGCCCUACCUACAAAUGAGUUCAAAAAACAGCAUUUUGCAGGCUGGGAGUGGUGGCUAAUGCCUGUAAUCACAGCGCUUUGAGAGACCAAAGUGGGCUGGUCUCGAACUCCUGACCUCAGGUAAUCCACCCACCUUGGCCUCCCAAAGUGCUGGGAUUACAGGUGUGAGCCAACGUGCACAACCUACCCCACUCCCCUUUUCAUAGUGAGUGCACACUGAACCCACUGAGGUAGAUGCACCUGGUCUUUUUUUCCUUCCCCAUUUACUAGAGUUUUGUGAUAUUCCAAAUCACUACCUAGAAAGUGCCCUAGUCACCUUAACAGCUUCAUAGUCUUUCAGUGCAUAGAUAAACCAAAAUUUUCAGUUUUUCUUCCCAUAACUAAAAGUAAUGAGUAUUCCAAAAUGCCAGCAAUUCCCUGUAUACUAGUCUGCCAACUCCAGACUAGUAUACAGUCCCCCUCUAAGUGAUCUCAUAGUAUUUUGACUUGUGACUAUUACUGGCUCGGUUCAAGCAGUUUGAGAUGGAGACAUUUGAAAUCAGCUCCCUCUCAAAAGAAAAAAACAAUUGAACAAGUCAUUAAACUUUUAAGUGUUCUUUGUCGAAUUAUUAGGUAAUGUGAAAUAGACAGCCUUGCACCUAGGGAUGUGGUUGGAGGUGAGAAUGGAACCUUAUCUGGCAGGCAAACCACAUGCUAUAUUCCCAGUCAUCUAAGAUGGUAACAUACACCAUUAUUUUAUGUAAAGUAAGGAAAUAAGCCGCCCACUGAAACAGGACACGUGCCUGAACAAUGCAUGGUCCGGUGACAACGGCCUCUCCUGGCUUGACAUUUUCAUUUCUUCCAAGGAAAUUUGUGGGUAUUUUCCCCUCUUAAGCUCUGCAAAGCUCUUGGUUUUGGCUUGGCAAGAAAAUGCGAAAUUUCAGUCAUCCUCACAAU